UACGAAGGGGGCUAGCGUUGAUCGGAAUUACUGGGCGUAAAGCGCGUGUAGGCGGGCCGUUAAGUCGGGGGUGAAAGCCCAGAGCUCAACUCUGGAACUGCCUUCGAUACUGGCGGCCUGGAGCAUGAUAGAGGCGAGUGGAAUUGCGAGUGUAGAGGUGAAAUUCGUAGAGAUUCGCAGGAACACCAGUGGCGAAGGCGACUCGCUGGAUCAUUGCUGACGCUGAGACGCGAAAGAGUGGGGAGCAAACAGG
rnacentral:rRNA from 1 species